rnacentral:rRNA from 1 species
UACGAAGGGGGCUAGCGUUGUUCGGAAUCAUUGGGCGUAAAGCGCGCGUAGGCGGCCCGGUAAGUCCGCUGUGAAAGUCAAAGGCUCAACCUUUGAAUGCCGGUGGAUACUGUCGGGCUAGAGUCCGGAAGAGGCGAGUGGAAUUCCCGGUGUAGCGGUGAAAUGCGCAGAUAUCGGGAAGAACACCCGUGGCGAAGGCGGCUCUCUGGGACGGUACUGACGCUGAGACGCGAAAGCGUGGGGAGCGAACAGG